rnacentral:lncRNA from 1 species
UGGAAUGUGUCAUUGAAAAAUUUACUUAAACUACAGGGUAAGAGAAAUACAGGUCUCCAUUCUUUCUAGCUGGAUUGGCUCAGUGUUCUCUGGCCGGUGGGUUUCCUUGAAGCCGUGUCUCUUAAUGGCCAUCACCGCAGCAGAAGCCAGCUGUGAGAGCAGACACCAGCUCGUUCCAGAUGUGGAAUGCUACGCAGAAGCACCAGAGGACCCUCUAAAGGUGCCUUGGUCAUGUGAGAAAGUGGAAAGGAACUACAAAAAAGUCAAAGUAAAUACGGGAAGCAACAAAAGGAGGUUGAAUGAGCUAAAAUGACCCUGGAGAGACUUGUACUCAUUGAGGGUGUAGAUGGGUAGGCAAGCCCCAAGUGUUGAGGAGUGAAUGGCUAAGCCAAAUUCUGUGGGAAGUGGCCUAGGAGGAGGCUCUUGUCUCUGAACUCUGCAAGGACAGGUGAGCACAGCAGCUACUGCACUGUGAUUUCCCACCCCUGACGUCAAUACUUCAUCCGCUGUGAAGAACGACUCUGGGUUGUCCAGUCUGCACACUGUGAAGAGCCGACAUGAAAUUAAAACACUCUGUUGCUUUCCAGUGCUUUCGAAUCCUCUCUAAAAAGAAUUCUCUUCAUUUCUUUGAUGAGUAUCAUCUUUUAUGCGUAGUGUUUUGUUUAGCUUAAUUUCCACAGCAACCACAGCAAAUUCAGCGCCUUGCCCCAGUGCCUGUCCACAGAGUCACAGUAUAAUAUGUACUUGUUGAAAAAAAUAAAUAAAUGCAUGUAAAAAUGAGACA